AACGCAUAGUCUUGUGAUGAUGGUCCGCUUCUUAGAGGGACUGUCGAUGUCUAAUCGACGGAAGUUUGAGGCAAUAACAGGUCUGUGAUGCCCUUAGAUGUUCUGGGCCGCACGCGCGCUACAAUGACGGAGCCAGCGAGUGAAACCGCCUUGACCGGAAGGUCCGGGGAAUCUUGUGAAACUCUGUCGUGCUGGGGAUAGUCCAUUGCAAUUGUUGGACUUGAACGAGGAAUUCCUAGUAAGCGCAAGUCAUCAGCUUGCGUUGAUUACGUCCCUGCCCUUUGUACACACCGCCCGUCGCUACUACCAU
rnacentral:rRNA from 1 species